GACAGAGGGUGCAAACGUUGUUCGGAAUUACUGGGCGUAAAGCGUGUGUAGGCGGCCCGCUAAGUCGGGUGUGAAAGCCCCGGGCUCAACCCGGGAAGUGCACUCGAAACUGGCGGGCUAGAGUAUCGGAGAGGUUGGUGGAAUUCUCGGUGUAGAGGUGAAAUGCGUAGAGAUCGGGAGGAACACCUGUGGCGAAGGCGGCCGUCUGGGCCGACCCUGACGCUGAGGCGCGAAGGCGUGGGGAGCGAACGGG
rnacentral:rRNA from 1 species